GAUGAACGCUGGCGGCGUGCCUAAUACAUGCAAGUAGAACGCUGAAGGAGGAGCUUGCUCUUCUGGAUGAGUUGCGAACGGGUGAGUAACGCGUAGGUAACCUGCCUGGUAGCGGGGGAUAACUAUUGGAAACGAUAGCUAAUACCGCAUGACAACAGUUAUUGCAUGAUAACUGUUUAAAAGGGGCAACUGCUCCACUACCAGAUGGACCUGCGUUGUAUUAGCUAGUUGGUGAGGUAACGGCUCACCAAGGCGACGAUACAUAGCCGACCUGAGAGGGUGAUCGGCCACACUGGGACUGAGACACGGCCCAGACGCCUACGGGAGGCAGCAGGAGGGAAUCUUGGGCAAUGGACGGAAGUCUGACCGAGCAACGCCGCGUGAGUGAAGAAGGUUUUCGGAUCGUAAAGCUCUGUUGUAAGGGAAGAACGAGUGUGAGAGUGGAAAGUUCACACUGUGACGGUAUCUUACCAGAAAGAGACGGCUAACUACGUG
rnacentral:rRNA from 1 species